rnacentral:rRNA from 1 species
UACAGAGGUCCCAAGCGUUGUUCGGAUUCACUGGGCGUAAAGGGUGCGUAGGCGGCCUGGUAAGUUUGGUGUGAAAGCUCGGAGCUUAACUCCGAGAAGUCAUUGAAUACUAUCUGGCUGGAGGGUCGGAGGGGAGACUGGAAUUCUCGGUGUAGCAGUGAAAUGCGUAGAUAUCGAGAGGAACACCAGUGGCGAAGGCGAGUCUCUGGACGACAACUGACACUGAGGCACGAAAGCUAGGGGAGCAAACAGG